GAUGAACGCUGGCGGCGUGCCUAAUACAUGCAAGUCGAGCGAACAGACGAGGAGCUUGCUCCUCUGACGUUAGCGGCGGACGGGUGAGUAACACGUGGAUAACCUACCUAUAAGACUGGGAUAACUUCGGGAAACCGGAGCUAAUACCGGAUAAUAUAUUGAACCGCAUGGUUCAAUAGUGAAAGACGGUUUUGCUGUCACUUAUAGAUGGAUCCGCGCCGCAUUAGCUAGUUGGUAAGGUAACGGCUUACCAAGGCAACGAUGCGUAGCCGACCUGAGAGGGGGAUCGGCCACACUGGAACUGAGACACGGUCCAGACUCCGACGGGAGGCAGCAGUAGGGAAUCUUCCGCAAUGGGCGAAAGCCUGACGGAGCAACGCCGCGGGAGUGAUGAAGGUCUUCGGAUCGUAAAACUCUGUUAUUAGGGAAGAACAAAUGUGUAAGUAACUAUGCACGUCUUGACGGUACCGAAGCAGAAAGCCACGGCUAACUACGU
rnacentral:rRNA from 1 species